UUUGGAAUACUAGCCCAAUGCUCUUCCAACUGAGCUAUGCGGUCACGACGGUUCGAGUAAGUGAUAUUUCGGAACAGUAUCUAGUUCCUUCAAUACCAAUGUGUUCUAGUAAUAUGAAUUUUUUUCUGUGUUGGUGUUGUGUACUCAGGUGAAUAAUAUGUUUGCGAUGUUACUCUGAGUGCAUAUCCACACCGGGCGAGCUUGAAAAAUAUGCCCGGCCACGGUGGGAUUCGAACUACGACCUUUGGAAUACUAGCCCAAUGCUCUUCCAACUGAGCUACGCGGUCAGGACGGUUCGAGUAAGUGAUAUUUCGGAACAGUAUCUAGUUCCUUCAAUACCAAUAUGUUCUAGUAAUAUGAAUUUUUUUCUUCUCUGUGUUGGUGUUCUGUACUCAGG
rnacentral:lncRNA from 1 species